GCCUGGCUAGCUCAAUCGGUAGAGCGUGAGACUCUUACGAGUCUUCGAACUCUGAAAUAUCUCAAGGCUGUGGGUUCGACCCCCACGUCGGGCU